CGACCUUGAACUCGCUCACAUUACUCCCGACCUUUGUGAUCAAGCCGGUUAUCUCAUGCCUGAAAUUCAUGCAAUGUUCUUAAAAAGGAGUUGGUUAUGGCUUCAAUGCAUCAUAUGCCAAAAGAGAUCUGUGGGGGACCAAAACAACUUGGCAAACAACUAAGCAUUCAUUUGGAUGACUUCUUUCUUGGAUUGCCUUGUGAUUUAUUUGUCAUGAUUGAUAUGAUCUAUAUUUAAAGGUGACAAUUUAUUGGUUCUGAA